UUGUCUGGUCAGUGGCUGUCCCUGGAGUGCUUCUUGUGCCAUGCCCAUGAAUACCUAGAGCCCCUUUGGGGAAUAAAAUAUAAUUACCCUUAAUACCAUUUUAGAACAGGGAUGUCAUUAUUUUGUUUGUACAGCAAGUAGCACAAGUCCACAACCUGAUUGGUCUCUAGAUCCUAUUGCAAUAUAAGUGUUGUCAUAGAUGAUGGUGUGAUAUAAUAAUAAUGUUUUGUUGUUGGUAAAGUGCUUUCCAGUGUAUCAGUUGUACUAUAUUCUAUUUCUUGUGAUUAUGAUGGACACUAUUCUUCCUAGGAACAUCCUUAUUUCUUUAUUUAGCCCAGGGGUGUUGAAGUGGUGCCCAGGCUGGGUCCCAGGUCACACUGUCCACAACACUCUCACAGGAUGGCAUCCUGGAGCGUCCCAGGCAGAUCCAACUACGUGAAAAUUUGGAAAGAGCCAGAACAAGCUGCUUCUAGUACAGAGGGAGACAAAACUCCAGAUUUCAAAUUCAUAGAUUAUAAAGCCUGAAGUGAUGAUGCAGUCCUCGCUUCCCAGGUCCUCUUCAGAGUUGCUGCUUUCCAGGAUCACUUUUGUUUUUCUUUUUUUGGACUGUCCAAGUGGACCACAUCUUUCCUGAAGCGUGGUGUCCAACACCGGACAGAGUAUUCCAGGUGCAGCCUUCUCGAUGCUGACUAGACUGGAAGGUUUACAUCACGUGUCUUACAUACGAUGCUCCUGUUUAUACAUCCCAGAAAAAAUAUAAUAAAUUCUUAUAACUAUUGUGAGAUUAUUGUGACUAUUUUGAGACCUAUAAGGUAGCCAGUUUUUACUCCAGUGAAUGCAUGUCAUUUUGAUUUUGUAUCACUAUAAUGUCUUAAUGAAAAUAUCAUGAGGUGCAAAUCAAAUACCUCACAGAAGUCUAAAUAAUGGUUCAAAGCUUCCUUUAUCAUUCAAACCUGCUAUCUCAGAAAAAAAAAAAUAUGGUUAGGUUGACAAGCUCUGUUUUCUGUAUGCUGAUUGGCAUGAAUUACGUUACCCUCUUUAAUUUUUUUUAAAAAACUGAAGUUAGUAUUAGCUGUUGCCUUAUUUUGCCCAGGAUUCAUGUCAAGCCUGUAAUUACUCCGGUUAUUCUUUUAACACUUUUUACAUAUUGCCAUAACAGCCAUCUUCCAGGCCUUUAAAACUCCUUCAGUGUCCUGAGACUUGUUGAAAAUCAAACCAGUUCAGAGAUUUCAACCAUCACUUUUAAUACUCUUGCAUGCAGUUUGCCACAUUUUCUCACGUACAAGAUGCACCUUUAAAAAAAAUUAUUCCCCCCCAAAACAAGAAAACUGCUGGAAAUUGGAGUGUGCAUUAUAUGCAGGAAGUAUAAGAGCAGUUUCUGCCACUUGCCAGGCAAAAGCAAAGGCAAAGUCUGCAUGAAUACACCAGGAACAAAACAAUGAGCAGGCUCAGCUCCUUAGCUGCUGUUACUCAGUUACUUAAUACAAGGAAAGAUCUUCUUUUUCUUCAUUCUGCGUUUAAAAACAAGGCACGUAUCUUAUUCUGGGGCCUGUUGUAUAGAAGAAAGUACAGUAUCUAAACCUGUUGAUUUAAGAAUGUCUAUAAUCUCCUGAUUUACCGUUAGAUUAGAAGUAGGUUGUAGCUGUGAUGGUCCAGGAAAUACCCGAGAGGCAAGUAAUUUUUGUGCUAUCUUUUAUUAGACCAACUGGGUGCAUCUGUACAAAACACUUUACUGAGCAUUAGACUUAUCUAGGGGUGGGCAAUUGUUUUGGCUGGAGGGCCGCUUAACGGGUUUUGGUGAGCUGUCGAGGGCCACAUGGGUUGCCCCCUGGUCACCAUCUUGGGACUGGAAGCCCCAGCCCUAACCGCUGACCUUUGCCACCAGAAGUCCCCCCUGCCCCUUGCCCAAGGAAAUCCUUCUUUUGGGAGGGGAGAGUUGCCAUCUUGGAAUCAGGAAAAAAAAACCAAAUCAUACACUAAAAGUAAAACACCUACUAUAACAUAUUUUAAUUUUAUUACAGAAAAUAUUUUUGUCAUGAUUUGUGUUUGCAUCGUGUAUA